rnacentral:lncRNA from 1 species
AAAUGGUUUUAUCUUAGGAAAAGGUUCAGUACAACUUUAAAUCUCCCUUCCUUUCUCCUUUCCUUCCUUCCUUCUUUCCUUCCUUCCUUCCUUCCUUCCUUCCUUCCUUCCUUCCUUCCUUCCUUCCUUCCUUCCUUCCUUCCUUCCUACUCCUUUUCUCCUUUCCUCCUUCUUUCCAAAAGCACUGGGAAAAACUAACUGCCUAAAUGACAUAAUGUCACCCUCUGCUUUCUUAUCUUCAGAACCAGCCUUUGAAGCAAGAUAUUUAUAAUAUGCAGUAACUGAAAAUAAAUAAGGAAACCAAAAUACAGAUACAGAUACAGUUUACAGAUAAAUCUUCAUGAGAAGAGGGAAAGAGGAGAAAGACUGAUGAUGAUGAGAACUUUUAAUAAAUAGAAGAGAGGAAUAUACAGAGUUUUCAUCAGAUAAUAUCCAUCCUCAAUGAAACAGAACUGGGUCUUUGACUUUGAAUAUGUAUAUGAUCUUGUCAAUGAGGGGAACAUACAGUCAUCAAGCAACUGAAAGAGGCCAACUAAGGUUAUACGCCAUUGAUGUGAAGUGGAUGAACCCAAGUUGAUUUUAUGACUUUCUUAUGAGUUUUCAAAGGUUCUUUCUUUUUGCUUCUGGUCAGUUCAGAAGGAGGCAAGUGACCAGUGUCCACCUGCUAUGUCAUACUUCCUCUGUAUAUAGUAUAGGAGGCAGUAGUCAAGUAAGUGAAAUAAAAAUGAUAAAUUUCUUACAGACAUUCCAAAAGGAGCAAGUGAAGGGGAACUCUGUCCCUACACCCAUCAAGAGUUAAAUCUAUUCAAUCAAUUUUCCCAAAUAUGGAAUUUUCUUACCCCCUUAUAUUCACAUCCUCUACUAAAAUUGUCAAAUUGACACCUUCAACUGAUGUGAAACUGCUUUGUAUUCUCAAAACCAUUGCAAUAGAGUUCAAAAUUCUCAUUGAAAUGUUGAAAUGUUUUAAGUACAAAUCUCUAUGAUAUAAAGUCAUUUGAUGGUUUUACCAAUUUAUAAACAUUUGCUCCUUUAUGUCACA